rnacentral:rRNA from 1 species
UACGGGGGGGGUAAGCGUUGUUCGGAAUUACUGGGCAUAAAGGGCUCGUAGGCGGCCAACUAAGUCAGACGUGAAAUCCCUCAGCUUAACUGGGGAACUGCGUCUGAUACUGGAUGGCUUGGAUUCGGGAGAGGAAUGCGGAAUUCCAGGUGUAGCGGUGAAAAUGCGUAGAUAUCUGGAGGAACACCGGUGGCGAAGGCGGCAUUCUGGACCGAUAUUGACGCUGAGGAGCGAAAGCCAGGGGAGCAAACGGG